rnacentral:lncRNA from 1 species
CACACACCUUGAUUAAGAGGACAACCAACUAAUAUAUCACACAACGAUCUAUACUUGAUACAAUUAUCAUCCUUGUAACAAUUGUAUCAUUUGAUCGCAAGCAAGAUUUAAGAACUACAUGAUAAAUCUUUCUUUAUCAUUUUGGAAGUAGCUCUGAGGACUUUAUCAUAAUACAUGAGUUCUAUUUAGGAAGAUAAACUCCUUAUGAUGAAUCUGCCAGAUAAUAUACAUACAUGGAGCACAAUCAUCUA